GAGCCUCCCUUCCUAUGAUAAGACAGGCCUGAAGGUUCCUCCUUAGCUGUGGGCUCAGAGGCAGAGCUCUGGGGUGUCUCCACCAUGGCCUGGACCCCGCUCCUGCUCCCCCUCCUCACUCUCUGCACAGGCCCUGUGGUUUCCUCUGCAAUGACUCAGGAGCCUGCAGUGUCUGUGGCCUUGGGACAGACAGCCACGAUUACCUGCCAGGGAGGUGGCAUAGGAACCUAUACUGCAAGCUGGUAUCAGCAGAAGCUGGGCCAGGCCCCUGUGCUGGUCAUCUAUGGUAACAACAACCGGCCCUCAGGGAUCCCAGACCGAUUCUCUGGCUCCAGCUCAGGAAACACAGCUUCCUUGACCAUCACUGGGGCUCAAGUGGAAGAUGAGGCUGACUAUUACUGUGGCUCCUGGGACAGCAGUGGUACUCAUCCCACAGUGAUACAGACAGACGGGGAAGUGAGACAGAAACCCCUUCCCUCUCUGUGUCACCCUCUCUCUCCAGCCCCAGCAGGACUGUGAACAAAGCCAUAAGCA